UGCCGCGUGCAGGAAGACAGCCCUCUGGGUCGUAAACUGCUUUUAUUCGGGAAUAAACCUUUCUACGUGUAGAGAGCUGAAUGUACCGAACGAAUAAGGAUCGGCUAACUCCGUGCCAGCAGCCGCGGUAAUACGGAGGAUCCAAGCGUUAUCCGGAUUUAUUGGGUUUAAAGGGUGCGUAGGCGGCUUAUUAAGUCAGGGGUGAAAGACGGUGGCUCAACCAUCGCAGUGCCUUUGAUACUGAUGAGCUUGAAUGAACUAGAGGUAGGCGGAAUGUGACAAGUAGCGGUGAAAUGCAUAGAUAUGUCACAGAACACCGAUUGCGAAGGCAGCUUACUAUGGUUUUAUUGACGCUGAGGCACGAAAGCGUGGGGAUCAAACAGGAUUAGAUACCCUGGUAGUCCACGCCCUAAACGAUGAAUACUCGCUGUUAGCGAUACACAGUUAGCGGCUAAGCGAAAGCGUUAAGUAUUCCACCUGGGGAGUACGCCCGCAAGGGUGAAACUCAAAAGAAUUGACGGGGGCCCGCACAAGCGGAGGAGCAUGUGGUUUAAUUCUAUGAUACGCGAGGAACCUUACCCGGGCUUGAAAGUUAGUGACUAAUUUAGAGAUAG
rnacentral:rRNA from 1 species